rnacentral:tRNA from 1 species
GCAAUCAUAGCUUAAUUGGUAAAGCCACGGCUCGAGCGUGAGUUACAGGUUCAAAUCCAGUUGAUUGCACCA